CCCUCCCCUAAAUCACUCCAAAAAAACAAUCCCCAAUUCUACACAAGUGUUUCUACACUAACAAAGCAACAGCUCCUUAACGAAUUCCCAACUUUACACGAGCUCGUCUCUCGAGGUUAAAUGUUAUUACUUGGUAAGAUUCCGGACCUCGCCAAGUGUUUUGAAAACCCGCAACGCUCGCAAAGGUGCAUAGUGAGAAUAAUAAGUGAAGAGACAGACUUGUCCAAAACGCCCACCACGAAGGUGCAUAGUGAGAAGAGUAAGUCAAGAGAUAGACUUGUCCAAAAAGAAACGGAAGAGAAAGCUUGGGGAGACGCUCACGAAGGUGCAUAGUGAGAAGAGUAAGUCAAGAGAUAGACUUGUUCAAAAAGAAACAGAAGAGAAUGCUUGGGGUUACACUCACGAAGGUGCAUAGUGAGAAGAGUAAGUCAAGAGAUAGACUUGUUCAAAAAGAAACAGAAGAGAAUGCUUGGGGUUACACUCACGAAGGUGCAUAGUGAGAAGAGUAAGUCAAGAGACAGACUUGUUCAAAAAGAAACAAAAGAGAAUGCUUGGGGAGAUAGAAGUGUGAGAUAGUUCUCAAGCUAAGAAAGUUGUAAAAGCUAAGAACUAGCAAGUAAUCGUCCAGGAUUCCUCCACCAGGACUUGAAAUCGUCGAGGGAAAAAAAUCGGUUCCGAGGAAUCGUCGAUCCGGACUUGGAAUCGUCGAGAAAAGUUUACCGGGUCCGAGGAUUUGUCGAC
rnacentral:misc_RNA from 1 species